rnacentral:tRNA from 11 species
CAGUGGCCGAGUGGAUAACGCGAUGGCGUUUGAAGCGAUGGUACUGGGUUCGAGUCCCAGAGUGAA